UGCGCUCCCGCCUGCGCUUCUCCAUCACUGCUCACCUUCCUCCUGGACCUCUGCCUGUGAGACUCGGGGGACAAUAAAACCUUCAUGUUUGUUCGUUGUUGAUCUGCAACUCUUCCGAGCCCGAACCUGACUGGCUGGGACACGUGUGGGUGGAGGUCCCACCACCUACCAGCAGGCCCCACCUCCGCCUCUCUGCGUCAGAAUGGCGCACAAGAUUUUAAAUGUUAGAAUUUAAUAAAUCCAUCAGUUUUUCUUAUUGCUUUUUCAGCUAAAUAUGGAUAUAAAAUGAUAAUAUGUUCUGUGGCAACGUUUAAAAGUAACACAAAUAGUUUUUGUGCGUUUUCAGGGUUUUUAAGCUGCUUUGGAAACAGCCCUACAUUUCCAUAUAUGGAGUGUGACGUCAUGACUGGUCCAGGUGAGACCAGACAGCAGCUCUUUUGUUUUAUUUCUCAUUUCUGUAAAGAAUCCUCGUGGCAGGAACAGCAGUGUUUGGACAGUGGAUUACUAUAAAAAUAAUUUCAUCAUAUUUCUGUUCGAAAACAAUUUACCAUAUAAAAUGUUAUGUAAAAAAUA